ACACUUUGUUAAAAAAGAAGCCCGUUAUUUUCUAGAAGGGCUUCUGAAAUGAACUGUUAGUUGGUCAUUGAUUAUUUAGAGAGACAAGAGAGUGAGCAAGGAAAAAAAUUAUGUGGGAAACAGCUGAUAAGAGCCAUGAUGAAGUAAGGAUGAUCUUCUCCAAGAUGUAAACAAAAAUGAUUGCAUUAAAAGGGCUCACCGCUUUCCAGGGCACUGCUAAUGCACAUCCCCGUGCACUAAUCCACAGUCACCAGGCCUUUUGCCUUGGAAGCAGGAACAUUUAGUCCUCUGGCGGGGCUGCCCUUAGGGAAUAAACAAACACAAUGUGGCAUGGGAUUUGUCGCCCAUUAAAUGGACACUGCUGUGGGUUGUUUUUUGUUUUUGUUUUUUUCUUUAUUUUUGAGAGAGAGAGUGAGAGAGGGGCAGAGAGAGGGAGAGAGAAAAUCCCAAGCAGACUCUGCACUGUCAGCGCAGGGCCCGAAGUGGGGCUGGAUCCCAGGAACUCUGAAGUCAGGAGCUGGAUGCUUAAUGGACUGAGCCAUCCAAGUGACACUGGAGUUUUGAGGCAGGCCCUUCAAGGAAAGGAGGCCAACCUGAGGGGUUACACGGAUCUGGGCUGACGGCAAUUGCUCAAUUGCUCAUCUUAUAAAUUGUGCAAUUUAGAGCAAACGACCUAGCAUUUCUGAUUCUUCGUUGUCCUACCUAGAAUUUUCCUUGCCAUAUUAAGCUGUCAUGAAGAGUGGAGCCUUCAGAAACGAACUGCCUAGGUUUAGAUCUCAUUUCUACUGUUUUCCUGCUGUGUGACUUUGGGCAAUUCACUUAAUCUCCCUGUGCCCCAGUUUUCUCAGCUGCGAAGUGAGGAACAGAAUAGAAACCACCUCACCGUCACUGCAAGGAUUAAGUGCAAUAACAUCUGUAAAAUGCUUACGGCAACGUCUGGCACGUCGUGAGUGCUAGUAAAGUGCGUGCUGUUGUGGCCAGCAGCAAACUCCUCUCCUUUAGUGUUCUGUCAAUUAAUUUACAUUCCUUGACCUUUGACAUUGACUUAAGCCAAUAAAAAAAAAAAAAGGAAAGCAAGAGAAAAGAAAAAAAAAAGAAAUUAAAAAGUGUCAUUUGGAAUUUGAUAGAAGGAAUAUAAAUUAUUCUCAUCCCAAUAUAAAUUAUUUGCGUACUCUCUUACCAAAACCACUUCGGAUUAAGUAAACCACACUUCCUCCCCGUUGUGUGAAGCAUCAGGAUUCAGUACAAUGGUGCUCUGAGAAUGAAAAUACCACUCUACUCACAUACACCGAAGGCUUAGUGACAGUACUAAAUGAAGGAAACAUCAGGCUGUAUCAUACAGGAUACUCUGCGGUAUAAACUACCUAGGAGACGUUGCAUUUACGCAGUUUCAACCACUGUUUAACCAUUUUAUAACAUAAUGUCAUGAUUAUGUCCAAACUUCUCAACAUGUUCCAGCAAAGUAAAGGGGUUCUAAGAGAAGCAGGAUCAUUAACCAGCAACGACCCAUCACGACCAAUCAAGCCGCAGCUAACUGAACCCGGAAAAACUGCUGACUUACAAGGUGCUGGGCCCCAUGAGUCUGCAAAGCACCCAGAAGACUGAGAACCACGCUUCACGUGCCAGAAAAGACAUGUUGCAACUCAUCUGGGAUGAAGGAAAAACCAUUCUUUUUCUUUAAGAGUUCAUUAGAUGAAAACAACUAUGCAAAAACAAACAGAAGAAAUAUAUAAUGAUGUCAUAUUGAAUGUCACAGACUGAAACCACCCAGGUCAUGGAGAACUAAGGAUUUGAAAUAAUGUAUGGACCACGGAGAGGAAAAAGGAACAAGGCGAGCAAUGCAUGAGGAAAGAAGAUAGAACAUAGAGAGGAGUGAAUUAAUGUGUGUGCUUAAUUCACUUAGGGAAGAGCGCCGACUCAUUGUGAGCCCAGGAUUGAGGAGACUUGCAUACAUUUCUACUAUACUGCCUGGAUUUUGAUACUAUGGAUAUAGCAUUGAUGACGGUCUUUGGUGCUAAAUGAUGCUUUGACCAAGUAGAUGUUCAGAUAAGUUCUGCCAGGACACACAAAUAGCACUUUCAUCGGCCGCUGCUCCAAGGGAACUGCUUCUGUUAUGUGUACUUAGCUAGUGUUUUCCAGAAAGACUGAAGCUGUUUAGCCUCAGAGCUUUAUAGAUUAUUCUUUUUUUGGAAAAUACUGAGAGUCGCCACUAUCUGCUUUGAAUGUUUCGUAUUUUAAUGCCUAAGAAAUAUGUGUGCAAUGGGUGAGUAGAUGAUACUUUUUUUAAAAUUGCAAAUUGUAAAAUAUAACCGAACUCUUAAACACCAUACAAUCAGAAUCACGAAAGCAAGCUACUCAGAAAUGGAGUCUCAAUGCCGAGUACAGAUCUUUUGUCAGAACUAAGAAACUACAAAUCAAAAUGUGGCCAUCUUGAGCCUCUUGUAAGGUCUUUAGAUAUGACACCACGAGGUCAAGACAUAGAACUCCGAGUGUGCAUGUGUUUUCAUGUUUAUAUACUGUGAGUUUGCUUUGUGCCCACUAACUUAUUAAGUACCUUCCUCCUUUCAGUUAAUCCAGUACUAAGGAGGCACUACAUUUUUGUAUAAAAUGGGUUUUAAGCUUUGCCCAAAGGGGAAAUACAUCAUUAUUUUUCAAGGAUUUUUCUUUUUGGAAAGCAUCACGGUGUGUGUUAACAUACAUAAGAGAUUUAAUCUCAGUAAAUGUGAAAGCUAGCUUUCUUAAAUGAUUUUCUUUCCCCAAGUUGACCUAACAGGUAUAGAAGAGAGCCUGCACGUAUUUCAAUUUACAUGCAGGAAAAUGACAAUGAGCUUACAAGAAAGCAUUAUUUAUAGUGUCAGUUCCUGCCUUGCUAAAAUUUGGUGAUUCAGUUAUUCAAACCAUGUAACAGAAUAGAUUUAGUGUAAAUACAAGUUUUAAAAAGAGAUUUUCUUUGCUGAUAAGACCAGAAGCUGAAACACAGACAGAAUUGAAGUCUGUGUAGUAAAUUCAGAGUUUCUCUGUUACUAACAAGAGAGACAAUUUUCUGAAAUGCUCAUUUACAGUGAUCAUUCAUCUGGAUUUCUUUAACAUUUAGAAUGCACCAGGGGAAGCUCAAAUCUGAAUGGAGGAGAAGAAAUAUUUGGAUUUGAUCCUAGUUAGUACCUUAAAAUAUCUAAGUAAGCACCUAUAAGAUGGGCAGUAAUGUAACUUGGAUUUUGUUUUAGUAACCAUAUAGGGCUAUUAUUGUUAUUUUUCCUGUCAUCAUUAGUCAUUAAUGUUAUUGGUGACCGUGGAGUAUAGCACUUUAAUUUUGCAUAGUUGUGAUACAAGUUACUUAUUUGUAACUUGUACAUAGGGCUUUGAAUAUUAAAAGACACAUUUACCAAGGGCCUGGAAUUAAAUAUCAAUGGGGGAUAUACGCCUGCAGAACAUGAACUUGUCAGUGAAAGAGGAAAAGAUCGAUCGUAUCCUCAGAUACUGAUCAAAUUUAUUUUUAAAAUGGAAGAACGUCUCCCAUAGCGAAGCACAGAAAUUGAGCCAAACAUUUGGAAAUAGGUCUUGCGUGAGGACCUAUUAGACACUAUACACUUUAUUCAGUGUAAGAAUAAUUUGGGGGGAGUUAGUAACUGGCAGCAAAAAUUAUCAGCCCUAUUCUUUGAUUUCUAGAUUUGUCUGAGCACGGUUGCCAUGAAAAGUCAUAUUUUGCAGAAAGGAGAGGAAGAAACCUUGAGUCUGAAAUCAGCAGACUUAGAAUCUGUUAUCAACAGCCUCCACUCACAUGAGGAACUUCCUUGACACAUAAUUUCUCUAUCUCUAUUUCCUUAUACAUUAAAAUUGGGAUUUGGGAAAUCAUAUGAGGAGAAAUCCAGAAGAAAAGAUCACAUGGCAGGAAUGCAGCCAGAGGCAACAGAUGAAGAAACGACAGUCCGAAUAACGUUCUAACAGUCCUGCUCACAUCUCUUAGCCUUCUGUUCAGUCAUCGGCAGAUCCCUCCCCGUCUAACGAAUAAAGUGUCACUCUUCAUGCUUAAGGGUCUAAAAUCUGGCCUGAAUUUAAUGUUCAAUACUAAUAUCUCUUUUUUCAUUAAUUUAUUCAAAUGCUGACCAUCACCUAGAAAAUCCGCUUUGGUUUUCUCCCUCUAACAGCAACCCAUAUGCCGACACAGCUAUAAAAUGUUCCUAAACUCCUCAGAUGCUUCUCUCUUCAUUUAUGAUUUUCGUACUUAAUCAGGCACUGCAGAAGAUUGUAAUGCUAUUUAAAGGGUUAUUACAUCUAAAUAUCUCUUUAAAACAUCUUAUUUCCCCCCAAUUAAUUUAUUCUAUUUAUUAACCUUAUCAUCAUUAGUAGCAGCAGUCUCAAGUAAUGUCAAUAAUUCCAUUGCCUAAGUGUUCAUCGUGUGGCAAGCAUUUUAUGUGUCUUAUUUCUCAUCCUUAUAACAGCCUUUUACAGCUAGCUGGAUCAAUGUUGCACACACACAUCAGGCUGACCCAAAGCCUCUCACCACCGUGCAAUGCCCGUCAUCAUCACCAAGGUCACAUAAUGCAGAACAUCCCUGGCAUUCAACAUAUCAGGAUUUGCCUUGAAAGAGUUGCAAUUAAAAAAACAAACAAACAGGGGCGCCUGGGUGGCGCAGUCGGUUAAGCGUCCGACUUCAGCCAGGUCAUGAUCUCGUGGUCCGUGAGUU